CAGUAGCCGCGGUAAUACGGAGGAUCCAAGCGUUAUCCGGAUUUAUUGGGUUUAAAGGGUGCGUAGGUGGCCUGUUAAGUCAGGGGUGAAAGACGGUAGCUUAACUAUCGCAGUGCCCUUGAUACUGAUGGGCUUGAAUGAACUAGAGGUAGGCGGAAUGUGACAAGUAGCGGUGAAAUGCAUAGAUAUGUCACAGAACACCAAUUGCGAAGGCAGCUUACUAUGGUUUUAUUGACACUGAGGCACGAAGGCGUGGGGAUCAAACAGGAUUAGAUACCCGGGUAGUCCCUGUCUCUUAUAC
rnacentral:rRNA from 1 species